rnacentral:rRNA from 1 species
UACGAGGGGGGCGAGCGUUGUUCGGAAUUAUUGGGCGUAAAGGGUGCGUAGGCGGUUUGGUAAGUCUUAUGUGAAAUCUACAGGCUCAACUUGUAGUCUGCAUGAGAAACUGCCGGGCUUGAGUAUGGGAGAGGUGAGUGGAAUUCCUGGUGUAGCGGUGAAAUGCGUAGAUAUCAGGAGGAACACCGGCGGUGUAGACGGCUUUCUGGACCGUAGCUGACGCUGAGACACGAAAGCGUGGGUAGCAAACAGG